UCUCUCUGAAUCUGCGAACGGCUCCGCAUACCAGUUGUAAACCAUAGCGAGCAAACCGUGGCGGCAUCGCAAGGCGUCGUCGCGGUUAAUAAGGAUAACCCUGGUAAUUCUGAGGCUAAUACAAGAACGUACAACCCACNCCGACCCGUAAGGGAAGGGGGGGGAAUGUGUGACCAGGCACGCAAAUUCGAAACUGGGAGUGGCCACACGUUCAGACCGUCAUACCAAACAGUYGCUCGCUUUGAAAGUCCUCGUGACGAGUAAACGGCGGGCUUCUGGGCGGCUCUCGCUGUGUGCUUCUGACCUAUCAACUAGAUGGCAGCGUAACGGACAUGCUAUGGUGACAACGGGUACAGAGGAUAAGGGUUCGAUCCUGGAGAGUGGGCCUGAGAGAUU
rnacentral:rRNA from 1 species